UGCUGCAGCAGGGAGCUGAAGCUGGACUUGGAGCUGCAUCCUCAGUCUACAAAUUAUAAUGGCCUUUACAAAGAGAGAAAGGGAAAUGAGGUCCUUGUCUUGUUGGGUACAGUGUACAUCCUGUGAGAGGAUCUGCUCCUUCAACUCAGGGGAGAUGAAGACAUUCAGCUCUUUGUAGGAUUAGGAUCUGCAUAAUAAUAUAAGCAGGGACAACAGAAGUCUGCAAGCAAUUAUUCCAGUACCUGCAGGGAAUUCCUUCAUACCUGUGCAGUUUUGCAGGUGAUCCAAAAUCAGCAGAGCUUCUGGAAGGAUUUUCUCUUCCAGCAUUUUCUAUAGUAUUGCAUUUAUUUAAUCCUCAAGAUUUUUACAGAAUUGUGCUUAUUCUGGUAUCAGAUGCAUACAUCACAUAAUCAUUAUAGUGAACGUGGGUCAAAUUCUUAUACCUCUUACUCUGGAAUAAGCCCAUCAAAUGAAUGGAUCUAGGAGAAGAAUAUAAGGUUCUACUCAAGAGGAUAAGAGUUGCAGAGGUGUUUCUGACCCUGCUUCUAAUAAGCAUUUAAAAAAGAAUCUGUCUGAAAUUUCACAUGAAUGUGUUCACUGUCUGAUCUCAGGCUAGCAAACUGGACUUAAGUAAAGAUGGUGGUUUUCCCUCUUAGAAACUGUGGUAGCUUAUUAACAAACGUACACACUUGCUUUCCUUACAAUCCUACAGUGAGAAUUAGCACAGAGGUGUAUAUUUGCCAUCCU